UGUACCAGUAAACAACAAAAAAAAUAUAUAAGGCAGACAGAGAGGAUGAAGAGGACUGGAGGCAUACAGCCAGCAGUUCACCCCACUGUGGGAGGGCUUCAUGUGGAGUGAACACACCCCCAGGUCAAGAGUCACCUUCACUCAACACACUCAUUAGCAGUACUGACACAAGUGCUCCGGUAGGGUCACAUAUGCAUACCAAUCUCAUGGCUGAUGUUUUUCACGUGAUGUAUUUGCAUGGCCUGCUGCACUCUGCUCCACUAACAAUGAAAUGUGUUUGUCAGUCUCGGAGGUGGAGCAGCUGCUUACAAACUGCAGUGCUUUCAUCUUCCAUGGAAUGGAGCUCUUUCUUGCCAACAUCCCAACAUCCAAGCUCGGUGCCCUCAACCUUUAUGGAACUGUAUCCAAUACCGACCUUUUUUUUGUUGGUCUGUUUGUUUGGUAUGAGUUUCAAGAACCUUCUUCAGAGGAUGUUGGAAACAUUUUUUAGUUUGAUUUUCUUCUUUUAGUGUCAGCUUUUUCCCUAAAAUACCGACCAAUUUGAAAUCUAUUUCUCAGAUAACAAGCAUGCCC
rnacentral:lncRNA from 1 species